rnacentral:rRNA from 1 species
UCCUACGGGGGGCAGCAGUGGGGAAUAUUGCACAAUGGGGGAAACCCUGAUGCAGCGACGCCGCGUGAGUGAAGAAGUAUUUCGGUAUGUAAAGCUCUAUCAGCAGGAACGAGACAAGACGGUACCUGACUAAGAAGCCCCGGCUAACUACGUGCCAGCAGCCGCGGUAAUACGUAGGGGGCAAGCGUUAUCCGGAUUUACUGGGUGUAAAGGGAGCGUAAACGGUGUGGCAAGUCUGAAGUGAAAGCCCGGGGCUCAACCCCGGGACUGCUUUGGAAACUGUCAUGCUGGAGUGCUGGAGAGGG